AGAGUUUGAUCAUGGCUCAGAUUGAACGCUGGCGGCAGGCCUAACACAUGCAAGUCGAGCGGAUGAAGGGAGCUUGCUCCUGGAUUCAGCGGCGGACGGGUGAGUAAUGCCUAGGAAUCUGCCUGGUAGUGGGGGAUAACGUCCGGAAACGGGCGCUAAUACCGCAUACGUCCUGAGGGAGAAAGUGGGGGAUCUUCGGACCUCACGCUAUCAGAUGAGCCUAGGUCGGAUUAGCUAGUUGGUGGGGUAAAGGCCUACCAAGGCGACGAUCCGUAACUGGUCUGAGAGGAUGAUCAGUCACACUGGAACUGAGACACGGUCCAGACUCCUACGGGAGGCAGCAGUGGGGAAUAUUGGACAAUGGGCGAAAGCCUGAUCCAGCCAUGCCGCGUGUGUGAAGAAGGUCUUCGGAUUGUAAAGCACUUUAAGUUGGGAGGAAGGGCAGUAAGUUAAUACCUUGCUGUUUUGACGUUACCAACAGAAUAAGCACCGGCUAACUUCGUGCCAGCAGCCGCGGUAAUACGAAGGGUGCAAGCGUUAAUCGGAAUUACUGGGCGUAAAGCGCGCGUAGGUGGUUCAGCAAGUUGGAUGUGAAAUCCCCGGGCUCAACCUGGGAACUGCAUCCAAAACUACUGAGCUAGAGUACGGUAGAGGGUGGUGGAAUUUCCUGUGUAGCGGUGAAAUGCGUAGAUAUAGGAAGGAACACCAGUGGCGAAGGCGACCACCUGGACUGAUACUGACACUGAGGUGCGAAAGCGUGGGGAGCAAACGGGAUUAGAUACCCUGGUAGUCCACGCCGUAAACGAUGUCGACUAGCCGUUGGGAUCCUUGAGAUCUUAGUGGCGCAGCUAACGCGAUAAGUCGACCGCCUGGGGAGUACGGCCGCAAGGUUAAAACUCAAAUGAAUUGACGGGGGCCCGCACAAGCGGUGGAGCAUGUGGUUUAAUUCGAAGCAACGCGAAGAACCUUACCUGGCCUUGACAUGCUGAGAACUUUCCAGAGAUGGAUUGGUGCCUUCGGGAACUCAGACACAGGUGCUGCAUGGCUGUCGUCAGCUCGUGUCGUGAGAUGUUGGGUUAAGUCCCGUAACGAGCGCAACCCUUGUCCUUAGUUACCAGCACCUCGGGUGGGCACUCUAAGGAGACUGCCGGUGACAAACCGGAGGAAGGUGGGGAUGACGUCAAGUCAUCAUGGCCCUUACGGCCAGGGCUACACACGUGCUACAAUGGUCGGUACAAAGGGUUGCCAAGCCGCGAGGUGGAGCUAAUCCCAUAAAACCGAUCGUAGUCCGGAUCGCAGUCUGCAACUCGACUGCGUGAAGUCGGAAUCGCUAGUAAUCGUGAAUCAGAAUGUCACGGUGAAUACGUUCCCGGGCCUUGUACACACCGCCCGUCACACCAUGGGAGUGGGUUGCUCCAGAAGUAGCUAGUCUAACCGCAAGGGGGACGGUUACCACGGAGUGAUUCAUGACUGGGGUGAAGUCGUAACAAGGUAGCCGUAGGGGAACCUGCGGCUG
rnacentral:rRNA from 1 species